CUUUCCGCGGUGUCAGUCACUCAUUCAGAGAAACAAUUCGAAAAACGUGUGUAGUUAAUCGAAACGAGUACGCACGAUGUUAAAACCAUAUACAUUGUGUACACCUUAAGUUUCAUUUUAGUUUUCCUAAUUUUUGUAUUUUUUUUUUCAUUUCGUUUUUUCUCUCUCUCUCUUCCGCUCACCGUGUAUAUUUGUUUUGUUUUCGCUUCUGACACCAUGUAAUUGAAAUCGUGUUUUAUGUGCUUAAUUUUUGCGCUGCAAACCAAUUAUUUUGUUUUUUCAAAUCAAAUAAGUUUCAUUACUUUCGUGUUUGCUUCGCUCAUUUUGGAAACGCGUUGUAUUAAAACCAAAUAUAUAAACAUUGUGUAUGCGUGUGUUGUGUUCCGAAAAUUGAAGGGAACGAAAGAACAAAAAAAAGAACCACUUUAGUAUUGUGAUACAAAAGAACUUACUUUGCAAAAAAUAUUAAAUUGAAAAUGCAUGUCGUUGAAUAAAUAUAAUUGAAUAAAUGUGAAUAGAGGCGAGAUAGUGGUUGAGUCAACCCCAACGAAAGUCAUCGAACGAAAAAUCGAUAAGCAAUCGAGUUUUGCUGUGUGUGAUUUAUCUGUCAUCGUUAGAGUGUAUCAAAUCGGUUCGGUCAAAGGACAAUUUUAGAAGCGAAUCAAGCAAUUGAUUUUGAUUUUUUUAUAUUCUCUUCUCUUUUGUCGUUGCUACGUCGUUUGCCAGUUGGAGACACACAGAUCAGUUUAGUUCAAUCACCGUUGAAUCACACAGUUAAAUCUCACGACAAAAUUCAAGUCCAAGGCAACAGACAUCAAAACACAAAUGAACUCAAUUCAUCCGUUCCAUUUUGUCCGCAUACAGGGAAUGCACAGUACUGUGUGAAAUUAAAUACCCGUCAUAUAAUCUGCAAAAUAAAACGCAAACAAAGAAUAUUUAAGGUGCUUUUUGUUACAGUGCGGUAAAUAUUCGAACGAAAAAGAAAAUCUGGUUUUUCGCUGUUUCAAACACAAUCAGUUUGUGCUAGAAUAAACAAUUUACAUGAGAAUUGAAAAGUGAAAGAGACACACCGAGCCGUGUGUACUUAUGUGUGUGUGUAUGUAAAAAUUGUCCAUAACAAAUGCACUUUCUCUAAUCAAACACAAUUCGCAAAAGUGACUUCGACUGAAAAACCAUAAUCAAAGAACAUGUAAUUCAUCGAUUGAACGUUUGUUUCGCUUCUUCAAUUAUCGUUUUUGUUUAAUUAGUGUACCAAUUUUCCGACUGAAACUUGUGCACAUAUUUCAUUUUAAUUUGCACCACUCGUCAAUCAUCAUUCUAAGUUCGUAAAGAAAAAUUUGUGAAAAAAAAAUUUUGCGUCAAGAGUGAGCGAAAAUAAAAGAAAGAGAAGAAAAUAUUUUUGUAAGAAGGCACCGAGCGUACGAUUUAAUUGAACAACAAUUGCUGACUAUGGCUACUAUUCAACGGCUUACAACCAACAAGACUUGCGAUAAUUUACACAAAACCCAAUUGAUCAACGGCUAAAAUUAGAGAGAACGAUUUUUUGACGGACGACGACCAGCAUACAUCAUAUUUUCUGUCGCGAAUUUAACGAGAUAGUCAGAAAACAUUGAAUAAAACCGCAUUUUCUUCGUCGAUAGACGGUGCAAAGAGAAACAGAAAAACAGAUAGGUGAUUUUGUGUGUGUGACGCGAAAAAACAUCGAAUAAACAACACCAAAAUUGGAUAGCAACCAUGGCAGAGGACGAUAUGGACUGUUGCGUUCGGGUAGCCGUCAGAAUCCGGCCGCAAAUACCGCGAGAAAUAAUCGAUAUGUGUCGCAUAUGUACACAAGUGACACCAAACGAACCGCAAAUCAUUUUGGGUGCCGACAAAGCAUUCACCUACGAUUUUGUCUUCGAUGUCAAUUCCACACAAAGUGAUAUCUACCAAGAAUGUGUGGAGCGUCUUGUAGACGGUGCGAUGAAAGGCUAUAACGCAACUGUAUUGGCAUAUGGUCAGACUGGAUCUGGAAAAACGUUUACAAUGGGCACUGGAUUCGAAACCGAAACCCAUGAAGAUCAAGAAGGAAUUAUACCGCGGGCGGUACGUCAUUUGUUUUCAUCAAUUGGCAAUCUCAAGGAAAAUCCAUACGAUGAAAAUGGCGUUUGCAUGGAUAUGCUGCAAUUCAGCGUUGGUGCACAGUUCAUGGAACUUUACAAUGAAGAGAUCAUCGACUUACUCGAUCCAUACAAUAAGACAAAGCAAUAUAAAAUAACAUCUGACAGUGCCGGAGCGAUAAAUGUGCCAGAUGCGACAAUCAAACCGAUACAUGGGCCACAAGAUGCAAUGCGGUGUUUGCAACAAGGUGCAUUGGCACGAACAACAGCAUCGACACAAAUGAACGCACAAUCGUCACGUAGUCAUGCAAUUUUCACAAUCCUUAUUAAACGACAACGUCGCAUAUCUGGCGAAGAGAAUAAUCUUAUGGAAGACGAUCUGGAGACAUUGACGGCCAAAUUUCAUUUCGUCGAUUUGGCUGGUUCAGAGCGACUAAAGCGCACUGGUGCGACCGGUGAACGUGCCAAAGAGGGCAUUUCCAUCAAUUCAGGUUUGCUGUCGCUUGGCAAUGUCAUCUCAGCAUUGGGAGAUUCAACGAAGAAAGCCACACACAUUCCAUAUCGAGAUUCGAAAUUGACACGACUGCUGCAAGAUUCACUCGGUGGAAACAGUCAAACGUUGAUGAUUGCAUGUGUUUCACCGAGUGAUCGUGACUUUAUGGAAACAUUGAAUACAUUAAAGUAUGCGAAUCGUGCACGCAACAUAACAAAUAAGGUGGUUGUAAAUCAAGAUCAAAGUUCACGAACUAUUUCACUGUUGCGCCGCGAAAUUGCCGCAUUGCAAAUGGAAUUGAUCGAAUAUAAACAAGGCAAACGAACAAUGGAUUCAGAGGGCAAUUCAACGUUAACAGAUACAUUUCAUGAAAAUGCAAUGCUAUUAGCCGAUAAUAAGAGGCUUCAGCAGAGAAUUAAAGCCAUGCAAGAAACGAUAAACAAUGUAACCGAGAAAAAUGUCGAUUUGAUCGCUGAAAAAGAGUCUAGUGAAUGGACGUCGUCGACGUCCAAUGAUAAAUCCGUGACCGAGUUAGUCGGGCGAUACAUCAAAGAAAUUGAAAAACUCAGAGCCAAACUCAUUGAAUCCGAACAAAUGUAUCAACAAUUGAAGAAAACGGUGAACACAGCGCGUAAAAAUCUUAUCACUUUCGCCGAUACAGAAGACGUCGAAGAUGUGAUUGACUUGGCAAAACGAAAGUUGGAGAAAGAGCGAGAAAUGUUUAUGUCAAAAUCGUUGCCUGGCUUUCCAGAUAAUUCGACAUCGAUUGACAACGAAAACGAAUCGGACAGUGAUGAGGAUUCAGAUGAAUCCGAAGAAAAAGUAUGUCAAGAGGAUUUAAUCGAUAUCAGCGAAGACAUUGAAUUGAAGAGCAAGCUCAUCGAACAAUUGGAAAUGACGAAAAAUCGAAUGGAAAAAAUGCGUCAAAUCUACGAAGAAAAAUUGAAUGUGCUCAAUUCAAAGAUAAUCAACACACAACGCGAACGAGAUCAAGUGUUGGCAAAUAUGACCGCAUCGAUUGGUGGUACGACCAAUUCAACGACAACUAACGAUAAAACAAAAAAGGUACGCGAAGAAUAUGAGAGAAAAAUCAAUGAUAUGCAAAAGGAGCUGAAGAAAUUGCAAAUGGCACAACGCGAACAUGCUCGACAACAUCGUGAAAUUCAAGCACAAGAGACACAGUUGCGUACACUGAAAGCGGAAUUGAGUGAAUUGAAAUCGGCGAAGAUAAAACUAAUCAAGCGAAUGAACGAACAGAUGAGCCGUCACAAGGAGGCCGAAACCCGAAAGGCCCGUGAAAUUGCACAGUUGCGCAAAGAACAGCGUAAACAAUCGAAUGCAAUAAAAUCGUUGCAAACACAAAGUGCGGCCAAAGAUCAAGUGUUGAAGCGACGCAUUGAAGAAGUGGCCGCUUUGAAACGUGAUCGUCGAAGUCAUUUGAGUCAAAAAGCUGCCGGUCGUUUACCACCAAAGAAAACACCUGUGAUAUUCAAUCCGAAGCAAGCACGAACAAAGUGGGAAACGUUACAGCGUACAAUCAAUCGGGCGGCCCGCACAAAACAAACAAUGUUCGAAUUGGAAAGUGAAUUAGAGCGUUUGGUGGCCGAACGUGAAUCAUUGAUCAAAGAUUUGAACGCCGUAAAACGACGUCAAAAAACAGAAGAUACACCUGAAUUAGCAUCGGAAGAAGAUACACUGAAAUCUAGCCUACGUUUUGUACAAGAAAACAUAACACAGGUGCAACAUUCGAUUGUUGAAAUCGAAGAUGGAAAACAAUCGACAUCCGAUACACAGAAUAUUCAAAAUUUGCUGGAAAACAUUCGAACAUUCGAUGAAGCCAAGUUUUUAUUGGAGAAAUUGACAAGCUCGUCCAUUUUACAAACAUGCGAAACGGCAUUAACACAGAAUCGAUUAAUGGAUAAUGAGGCACUUCUGAGCGAUAUCAAACAAGAAAGCAACAUUCAGCAUCAAUUGCUUCAGCAUGUAUUGACUCAAAAUCCGUCGGUGGCAUUCCCCGAUACAUUGAUCACAACGCCCACAAUCUCCAAUAAGUUCAGCGGUACGUAUACCAAUCUGACAGCAUUGGAUUCAGACGGAGAUGGACAGAGACCAACCAUAGAUAGCAAUAACACCAUCAGCACUGUCAAUUCACGUUCCCCCUCACCCAUGCUCCAGAACGAUCCUGACACGAUACCGCCACGAACACCAAAAGUUAGAAGACGCACUGCACAGACGCAAGAUUUACUGUUCGGUGAUUCGUCCUCGUCAAUUGAUCAAAUGUCACGUUCGUAUCAGCAACAGCAUUCUCCAUCGCACCAACAACAGCAACAGACCGAUAUGACACGUAGUAGUUUUAUUCCAUUAUCACGCGUACCGUCUGCCCCCGGUUCGCUUAAAGGAUUGAUGUCCGUUCACACAACUCCACGCCACACAUUCACCACAAAUCAUUCGAAUAAUCCAAUGCUAUCAUCGCCGUUAUUUCCGCGCAAGUCGAUGGACUCAGCGCCAUCGGUACCAGUAUCGCUACAUACAUCGCCGCGUUUUACACGUCGACCCUUUCCAAAUAAAGCAUCGCCCGGACUAGACGAUGAUCAACAAACACCACCGUCGCCGCUUAUUUAUCGACGCAUGACGUCACGCGAAGAUACUGCCACAGAUGUUUUUUCACGAUUGGGAGCCGGCACACAAGAUCCAGUUCCCGGCGGAUCGAUCCGAGAAUACAGCGGAAAGAUAAAACCUAGCAAUCCAUUGAAUUGCACCCACGUGGUCGAAGGGCAUAGUAAUUCUGUUCUCGCUGUCAAGGUCAAUGACAACAAUUUAUAUACAGCUGCUGCAGAUCGAACGGUUCGAAUUUGGGAUUUGGGCAAAUCAAAUGGUCCAACCGGACUAUUAUCGCAUGCUGGUCCCGUCGUGGCCGUCGAACAUGAUCGAAAAACGAAUUUAUUGUUUUCCGCCUGCGGUGCAUUUGUUCGAGUAUGGGAUUUGCGAUCCAGCCACACAAAGUCUGUAAAAACGCUUUGUUCCAGUGGAAACACAAUGUCCGGUACAGCAAAUUUGGGUCUAUCCACUACUGGCGAAUCGCCUGUGACGGCGCUCUCUUUGGGAUCAACAGGCAAUUUAUACAUUGCUGCAUCGGAUAAAGUUCGAAUAUGGGAUUUGAGAAAUUUCUCAUGUGUUGGAAAGUUAAUUGGUGGUCAUCAGGCGGCUGUAAUGUGCGUUGCAUCAUGGAAAGGACCAGAUGGCACCGAUUUUGUUGCAACCGGAUCAAAAGACCAUUACGUAAAAGUGUUCGAAGUGUCAUCAGCUGCUGGCAUCGUAUCCCCAUUGUUGCACCUCGAACCACCACAUUACGAUGGCGUUCAAGCGUUGGUUGUGGCCAAAAAUUCGCUUGGUGCCGAUGCUGAACUAUUCUCUGGCAGUCGUGAUACCGGCAUCAAACGAUGGGAUCUACGAAAUGGCGAAUUAAAACAAUCUCUGAACAAUGCACACAAAGGCUGGGUGUCUGGUAUGACCAUUUCGGAUGACAUUUUGUUGUCAGCAUGCCGCGGUGGCAUAAUUCGUCUAUGGAAUGUGAAUACUUGCGAGAGCAUUGCCGAUAUGAAAACCGAUUCAGCAAUCAAUGACAUUGUUUGCAAUAGACAACUCAUUUACACAGCAGCCAAUUCGGGCGAAGUGCGGAUUUGGCGUUUGAUUCCACCACCAUAAAGAAUGUGUCAAUUCUAUUCACUUCUUCUAGUAUUGUUAGCUAUAGCUUGUUUCAUUGUAGCAAACUCGUUAACAACAUAAUGAACAAACCAUGUACCUUAAAUUUUAUGACGACAAAAGCAAGCAAUUGACCCAACAAACAUGUGGUCAAUGCAAAAAUGAAUUUGUGCCUCUGAUAUUUAUAACUACAUGACAAUUACAUGAUUUAGAGAUCUAGAUUAGCGUUUUUGACGUGCCGGGUGACUUGAAAUCGAUUUACAGACAAAGAGCCAACAACAAUGAUGGAAAAAUUCGCGUAUGGAAGUUGCGGCGCCAAAUAAUGCUACAAACCAGAUGACAAUAUCGUUGAGAAGUUGGAAUAGAAUCAUUUUUUUUUUAUAAAUUGGCUGCGAAAUUAUUUAAUAUUUAUAAAUAUUUAUUAUUUGAUGUGAAGUCAAGACAAUUUGUUUGUCAACCAAAAAAGAAAAAUCGAUAGAAUUUAAUAAAAUAUGUGAAAAAACAUAAAAAUUAAUGCAAAAUAGCAACAAAAUUUAUUCAAUUCGAAAAAG